rnacentral:tRNA from 1 species
CCGGCCGUGGCUUAAUGGUUAGAGCGUCGGCCUGAGCACCAAAGGGUCGAGGUUGGGAUUCCCAGUCAAGGGCACGUACCUGGGUUGCAGGUUCCAUCCCCGGCCGGU